GAUUUUUAACUCUUUUAAUGAGGCAACAGUUACAAAGAGACUUAAAGCCUAAACUUUAUUGGCGAUAUAGUAGAACAAAGAUCCAUUUAGCCAUUACUUAAGUCAUUCCCCAAGCACUUGCAUAUUGCAUAAGCAUGAUAAAAUAAAGAAGAGAUGAUUUGUUUUUUCCAAAUCCAAAUGGGACUGUGUGUUUGAACAUGAUUUGAGUCCAUGUUAGUAAAUUUCCUAAUGGAAAAAUAUGACCUCCUACCUUUAAAAAUUAAAUGACCUUUUGGGGACUUACGAAAAAGAGAAGCUCAUGCAAGUUUGCGAAUAUUAAAUGACCCAUACAAAACAUCUUGACGUAUUAGUCUAUGAAUCAAAAACAUCUGUAUCAUGCUUGGCUUAAAAUAUACAUUGAUUUAAAAAUAAAGUGGAAAGUUUUUGUAAAAAAUGCAUGCUUUAUUUCAAAGAAUGUAAACCAUUAAACAUAUUAUUGAUUCUGUUCUAAAAUUUAAUUUAAUUCAGUUGCUUGAAAUAAAGCUUAAGAGAAGUCUACCUUGCUUCCUGAUACGGGACUACAUAGAAACUUCCAGCAGAAGGUUCUCUCUCUCUUUUUUUUUUUGCCAUGCCCUUUGCAUGCAGAAUUUCCCAGGCCAGAGACUGAAUCUGCACCACACAAGUGACCAGAGCUACAGCAGUGAUAAUACCAGAUCCCCAACCUGCUGAACCAUCCGGGAGCACCCAGCAGAGGGUUUGGACCUGAAAUCGGUUGACCCAGAUUGAUCUAUUAAUAGGCUUCAAGAAGUCUCUGAAACCCCUGAAACUGUGUUCAAAAUUUUCUGUAUAUAUGCAGAUGUGUUUUUAUUCGAACUGUGUUCAAAGUUUUGUGUGUCUAUGCAGAAUCGUCUUUAUCUGGAGUAGUUUCUCAAUCUUGGCAUUAUUGUUGUUUGAGGCAGAUAACUCUUUGCUGUGGGAGCUGUCCUAUGGACUAUAGGAUGUUCAGCAGUAUCCCGGGCCUCUACCCACAAGAUGCCACCAGUACAACCCCAAUCAUGACUAUCAAACAUGUCUCCAGAUAUUACAAUGUCCCAGAAAACCACUGUUUUGUUCAUUUCCCUUUUUGGUUCUGGAUAAUUCUAUUUGGAUUGCCUUUAGCAUGACUCUAUUUCUCCUGAAAAUACUGCCCCUGUCUCUGCUCCCAUUUGCUAGUAAUUACAGCCUCCCAAUACCUAUCCUCUGGUACUCUUGACUCUUGUGCAGCUUUCUGACUCAUCAGUCCACAGACACUGUUCUUGCCAAGGUCUCCAUUGCUAAAUCCGGUGGUCUUUUCUGAGUUCCCAUCUUACUGUGCUCUUGUUGGCACUGAUCCCGUUGAGACCACUCUCUCCUUAUUGAUUCACUUUUUCCAUUUACUUCUAGACACCUAUCCAUUGGCUUUCCUCUCACUUCAAAUUUGGUCCUUCUCAGUCUCUUUUACUGAUUCCUCUUCUCCUCUCAGACAUCUUAACAUUGGAGAGUCUCAUGGCUCAACCUUUGGUCCUCUCCUCUUCCCUUGGCAACCUCAUCCCAUCAGGGUUUAAGUACUGUCUAUAUACUAAUGACUCCCCAGUGUACUUCUCCAAGCCAGGCCUAGCUCCUAAAAUUUAAGUUUGUGUAUGCAAUUACACACUGAACAUCUCCACAUCACAAACUCAAGAUGUUUAAAUUGGUGCAAGCACUAUGAAAAACAGUAUGGAGGUUCCUCAAAAAACUAAAAAUAGAACUAGAUCCAGCAAUCCCACGACUGGGCAUCUAUCUGAAGAAAACCAUAAUUCAGAAAGAUACAUGCAGCCCACUGUUCAUUUAAGUACUAUUUAUAAUAGCCAAGAUAUAGAAGCAAUCUAAAUGUCCAUCAACAGAUGAAUGUAUUAAGAAAAUGUGGUACAUAUAUACAAUGGAAUGUUACUCAGCCAUCAAAAAGAAUGAAACAACACCAUUUGCAACAGCAUGGAUGGACCUAGAAAUUAUCGUACUGAGUGAAGUUAGUUAAACAGUGAAAGACAAACACCACAAGAUAUAUCACUUAUAUGUGGAAUCUUUAAAAAAAAAAGGUUACAAAUAAACAUAUUUGAAGAACAGAAACAGACUCAGACUUUGAAAAACUUAUGGUUACCAAAAGGGACAGGUGGAAGGGGGAAGGAUGGAUUGGGGGCUUGGGAUUGGCAUGUGCACACUGAGGUAUAUGGAACGAUGGGCCAACAGGGACCUGUUAUAUAGUGCAGAGUACUCAACCCAAUGUUGUGUGAUAAUCUAUGUGGGAAAAGAAUCCGAAAGAGAAUGGAUGUGUGAACAUGUAUAACUGAGUUGCUUUUUGUACAGCAGCAAUUAUCACAACCUUGUAAAUCAACUACACUUUAAUAACACUUAAAAUAUGAAAGACAAAUAAAUACAAAUUAAAAUAAAAAAAAAUAAAACUUAACUUGUGAUCUUCCUCCAAGAAUCUAACUCACCCUGGAAUCCUAUUGUGGCACAGAGAGAACGAAUCCAACUAGUAUCCAUGAGGAUGCGGGAUCCCUGGCCCCACUCCAUGAGUUAAGGAUCUGGCAUUGCCAUGAGCAAUGGUGUAGGUCAAAGACACAGCUCAUAUCUGGCAUUGAUGUGGCUCUGGUGUAGCUUGACAGCUGCAGCUCCAGUUCAACCCCAGCCCAGAACUUCCAUAUGCCACAGGUGGGGCCUUUAAAAGCAAAAAAACAAAAACAAACAAAAAAAAUCUGUCUCUGCGCCAAGGCAAAAACCAUGGAAUCAUCCCUAUCCUCUCUGUCGUACCACCUUUAUUCUGCCAGGAAACCCACCUGGCUCAAUCUUUAAAAUAUAUCCAGAUUUCAAGCACUUGUCUCCAUGACCAUGCUACAACCAUAGACCAAGCCACUGUUUUCUCCUCUGAGGAUUGUUACAGUAUCCUCCUCACUCUCCUGCAUCUAUCCUUCCCCUUUUUGUCUAUUCUCAACACAAUGGCCACAGUGACCCUUUGACAAUGUAAAUCAUAUUAUACCACUUCCCUGUUCCUCUGUCACUCAGAGUAAAAGCCAAAGACCCUAUAAUGAAGUACUUCUUGUUAUCUGACCUCACCUGUCACUAUUCUUUUUGUUGUUUACACUGCUCCAGUCACACUGCCUUCUUGCUGUCCUUUGAACGUGCUGCACAAGCUCCUACCUCCCAGCAUCUGUCUAUGUACUCUGUCUUCCUGUUUCAGAUCCUUUGCAUUCCUUUUCUAGCUGCCUCAAACACUCUUACCUCAGAUACUUACAUGACUAAUUUCUUUACCUUUUUCAGCUCUUUGCUCAAAUGUCAUCUUCUCAGGGAAGCCUUCUAUGACCCCUUUAUUUACAAUUGCAAAAAUCACCUGCAAUCCUCCUGUAUUACUUUUUCCCAUAGUCUUUAUCAGAUUCUUACAUAUCUCUAAUUUACUAACAUAUUAUACCCAUGAUUUAUCAUCUGUCUUCCUCCACUGGAAUGUAAGCUUAGAGGGCAAAGAUUUCUGUCUUUUUUGUUCACUGAUGUAUCUCAGGCACUUCAAAGCAUUGCCAGUACAUUGCACACCCUUAGUAGAUACUUGUUAAAUGAAAGAAUGAAUGACUGAACAAAUGAAUAACGAAUGAAUGCGCAGAACUAUGCAUCCAACAUUUUGUCAAAACACAAAUGGAAUAGUGAUGAAAUUUGAGCAUGUACUAUGCCAUGAGUAAGUCUAAAGAAAUAUUAACAAUCACUAUCAUACAGACAAGGGUGGAAACACACUUGUAACUAUAAAAACAGGAAGUCCAGGGUCUAUCUGAAAGCAAAAACAGGAAUGUCUUAUGCAGAACUCUAUGUUUAGGAUAAUACUACGUAGGAAAUAAUAUGUAGGGAAUUUUAAAGAUGUGUAGAGCUGAGGCUGGGAAGUGGGGUACAAUGAGGUUCAUUCUGCCGAGAGAAGGAACAGACAAUAGCAAGAGUGUGAAGAGCAAGAUGUACCGAGCAAAGUCUGGAGUGGGGAGAUGGUUGGAUUGAGAAUUGAGUAGGGAUCAUUUCACAAAGAUCUCAGUGUGUUCUACUAAAGAAUUUAAGCUUCAUCCUGAAAGCAACAGGAAAUCUUCCAGUUCCUUCACCUCUUUAUCACCAGUGACAUGUCUCUCCAUCCAAUCAGCCACCCAUCUCCAUGGUCCCAUCCUAGACCUCAUCAGCACUAGAAACUACAUCACUUCUAAGCUCUUUAUAUUAACAAUGUUUCAAUAUCACACUUUCUAGCCACCAGAUCUCUUGUUUAUGUAUUCCCACAGCUAAAAACCUUCACCAAGACCUCUACUACCCUGAUUCCACCACUUUUUCACUAACAAUCAACCCCUAUCUGCCUCAGCCCUAGGCUGGAUACACAUUUAGCCUUGAUCAUUGUCCAUCAUCAUAAUCACACUCUUCUCAAAGACCCUGAGCUCUGUUAUUUUUUUAUCCUGACAUACUACUCUCUUGUCAAAACCCUGAUUGUUAAUCUGCCUUCCUCAUAUAUGCACUGGCAUUUGAAAAAUCAUAUAUGUAAACUUACUUAUUUCUCUUUAAAUUCAUAUCACAGAUUGAAACCAAGCAGGAGCCUGUAGGUUCCUCCUAGGUACAAAUCCCUUCUAUGUCCCUUGUUUCUUAUCUGCAGGCAAAAGUUUUCAUUCUGUCUUCUAGACCUUUCUGAAUGCCAAAGGGCAGAUUCAAAGUUAAUAAUCAGGGAAGCUGAGCACAAAAUUCCUUGGAGCAAUGCCCGUUACCUCACCACCAACCCAUUAGAAGAAAGUCACACACCCUCAAGACCUUACAGAAGUUUUGCCUAUAAAAACCAUUCCCCAAAAAGUAUAGAGGAGUUUGGGUUUUUUGAGCAUGAGGGGCCCAUUCUCCUUGCAAUAAACCUUUCUCUGCUCCAAACUCCAAUAUAAAGGUUUGUUUGGCCUCACUGUUCAUUGGGCACAUCAACUUGGCUUUGGCAACAUCUUUGACAGGCUCCAGUCUGGCUUUCACUUACAUUUAAGACUAUUUUUGUCAAUGUCAUUGUCAUUCUGUCUAUUGUCAAAGAACUUUUGUCUGUCCUUAUCUUACCUCUCAGUAACAUUCUAGGGGAGGCUAGCCGUCUCUUUCUUGAAAUAACCUCUUGACUUCCUGACACAACACAUUCUUGCUUUUCCUCUUACCUCACCACCUACUCUUUUUCACAAAAGGCUAUAUCUUUCUUUCUCAACUCUCUCGUUGGUGUUCCUCAGUCACUCCAGGGCCACGUUCUCUUUUCUCGCUGGAUAUUUCCUUAUGUGAGUUCAUCCGAUAGUUUUAAGUAUCACCUAUAUUUUGAUGAUUCUCAAAUUGAUAAUCUCCAGUAUGGCUGUCUCCUCUCAACCCCAGACACUCAUAACCAACUUUGGUACCAAUGUCCAUUGAAUGACUCACCAGCUUCAUGAGCCCUAAAUUGCAUUUCCAGUUCAAACUUGUUCCCCAUACCUUCACAGACUUAGUAAAUGUCUUCAUUUCUCAUUUCACUGCUCAACCCAUAAGCCUCAGAAUCUUUGUGACCCCUCCAUUUCCAUCAUUCAUCACAUUUAAUCCAUCAGAAAGCCCCACCAUCUCUAGCUUCACAACCCAUCUCAAAUAUAUCCAUUUUUUUCCAUUUAAAAUCCCAUCAGUUUCCAUAGCACAGAAACCCAAACUCUGAUAAGGGGUGUUUGCAGCAAAGUAAGGGUUUACUUGCAGGGAGCCAAGCAUGGAGAAUGGACCACUCAUAUUCAAAAGACCCAAAUUCCCCAAUGGCUUUCAGGCAGGGGGUUUUAAAGACAGUGCUAGGUGGGAGGUUUGUAGGAUGUGUGAUCAUACCAUGGACCUUCCUCUGAAUGGUUGGUGGUGACAUAACAGGAUGAUGUUUUGGGAAUCUGAACUUUCUGGUUUCAACCAGUCUGGAGUCUGCAUGAUUGUGGUCAGCAUGUAGACAUCAGCCUCCACCUGGGGUGGGAGGUAUAUUUUCUGCAGAACAACUCAAAGAUAUGUGCCAAAUUGUUAUGUAUAUCUCAUCAGGGGAACUAGGAACCUGGGGACUAUAGACCUAAUCAUUAACUGCUUGAGGCUGCUCUUUGGAAUUCAAAGAAGACCUAGGAGACCAAUACUUGUGUUUACUACAAACAAGAAACAAGGGAAAUGGAGGGACUUUGGUACCUGGGAAGGCCCCACAGGGUCCUGUUUGGUUUCAAUCUCCCUUUUUCUUUAAUAUUUCUCAAUCCUGAAAGGAAUAGGAGCAGGACAAGAACGUAAAUAAAGUUUUGGAUAGAGAGAGUAAUCAGCAAGGGAACUCAGUUUUAGGGGGUCUCAGUUUCACUUCCUUCUCUUCCUUCCUCCCUUCCUUCCU
rnacentral:lncRNA from 1 species